CCAGAUCCAGUAGCUAUCACACGGUCACCUACAGGUUGCUCUGAAGGUUUGCUGCUUGGGCCGUCUCGACGCUCCUCAUGUUUCUGCUUCCCUGCAGCCAUAUUCCGCUUGGCAGGAGCCAGAGAGCUGACUGCUUUGAAAGCUCGCAGCACCCUUGUGACUGUGCCCACAGGACGCCUGUCAUCCAAGCCGCUGCCACUGCUCUCAGGCAAUGCAAUGUUCUUUUGUGCGGCCAGCGCCGCCGACGCCGCAUGCUGCAGGAUGGACUCUCCGUCCACAGCUGCAGCCUCUGCCUUCCUCAACAGCUGCGCCGAAUUGCAGGAGACACCUUAUGAUCUGCAGGAUCCUUUUAAUUGACUUUCAGGACUCCAGUGGCGGCCACAGCAACUGGGAGACUAGGAACCAUGUACUUUUCCUGCAUUACAAGGAUUCGGCACAAGCAUCUUCACCUCCGUCUCAUCCUCAUCAUUGACUGGUGGCCUGCCAUGGCCAAUUCGUUGAAGAGGUGCCUUGUGCUGCUGGGGCUGCAGCUUGCGAUUAAUUCCUUGUGCCUUAAACUUUGCCGUUCGGGGAGUCGUUUUGAAGAGCUGGACCUUGCUGCUGCAGCACAUUGAACAGAAUAUUGACACUGGGACAGAGCAGAACAAGCAUCCAUUGACAAGGCAAUAGCGCUGAAAUGCACACCUGUCUUCAUCCUCGGCGGGAGUGGGAGUGUUCUGCAGGACAGC
rnacentral:lncRNA from 1 species